ACAUGCAGUCGACGGUAACAGGCCGCAAGGUGCUGACGAGUGGCGAACGGGUGAGUAAUGCAUCGGAACGUGCCCGGUCGUGGGGGAUAACACUUCGAAAGAAGUGCUAAUACCGCAUAUGAUCUGAGGAUGAAAGCGGGGGACCGUAAGGCCUCGCGCGAUCGGAGCGGCCGAUGUCAGAUUAGGUAGUUGGUGGGGUAAAGGCUCACCAAGCCAACGAUCUGUAGCUGGUCUGAGAGGACGACCAGCCACACUGGGACUGAGACACGGCCCAGACUCCUACGGGAGGCAGCAGUGGGGAAUUUUGGACAAUGGGCGCAAGCCUGAUCCAGCAAUGCCGCGUGCAGGAAGAAGGCCUUCGGGUUGUAAACUGCUUUUGUACGGAACGAAACGGUCCGGGUUAAUACCCUGGGCUAAUGACGGUACCGUAAGAAUAAGCACCGGCUAACUACGUGCCAGCAGCCGCGGUAAUACGUAGGGUGCAAGCGUUAAUCGGAAUUACUGGGCGUAAAGCGUACGCAGGCGGUUUUGUAAGACAGGCGUGAAAUCCCCGGGCUCAACCUGGGAAUUGCGCUUGUGACUGCAAGGCUGGAGUGCGGCAGAGGGGGAUGGAAUUCCGCGUGUAGCAGUGAAAUGCGUAGAUAUGCGGAGGAACACCGAUGGCGAAGGCAAUCCCCUGGGCCUGCACUGACGCUCAUGCACGAAAGCGUGGGGAGCAAAC
rnacentral:rRNA from 1 species